GGCGCCAUAGCCUAACUUGCCUAAAUUUUUAUUUAUACUAUAAAAUGGUAUGCAAAAAAAGAAAAUUUAAAAGUCAAACACCUUAAUAUAAACUAUUUCAAAAUGAAAAACCUCAAAAAUUUUAACAAAUGAAACAAAUAAAUAAACGUUCUUUACACAAACAAAAGAAUAAAAAGAAGAGAAACAAGGAUAGGAGAAAAUACAGUAGGAAAGCUUUCCACUAUGACACUUAUUCGAUGUUUUAAUGCAAAAUUUCUUCUCUUAUAAUUUUAAGCAGCAAUAGUCCCAUCAACAAUAGUCUUAAGAUCAAAUUGCAAAAUCUAUAGUUAAAAUCACCACCCUAAUAAUUCUACUAAUAUUCAGUGAAUGUCUAGAUCCACUGCUUAGUGAUCAACAAUGCACACAAAGAAACUAUUCAGGUUAAAAUUAAACAAAAAAAAAAUAAAUAAAGUGCAG
rnacentral:misc_RNA from 1 species